CGCGCGCUACUUACAUGUCG
rnacentral:misc_RNA from 1 species